rnacentral:tRNA from 3 species
GCGGGAGUGGCUCAGUUGGUAGAGCAUCUCCUUGCCAAGGAGAAGGUCGCGGGUUCGAAUCCCGUCUCCCGCUCCA